AUUGAACGCUGGCGGCAUGCCUUACACAUGCAAGUCGAACGGUAACGCGGGGGCAACCCUGGCGACGAGUGGCGAACGGGUGAGUAAUACAUCGGAACGUACCUGGUAGUGGGGGAUAGCCCGGCGAAAGCCGGAUUAAUACCGCAUACGCACCACGGUGGAAACCGGGGGACCGCAAGGCCUCGCGCUAUCAUAGCGGCCGGCGGCAGAUUAGCUAGUUGGUGGGGUAAGAGCCUACCAAGGCGACGACCUGUAGCUGGUCUGAGAGGACGACCAGCCACAAUGGGACUGAGAAACGGCCCAGAAUCCUACGGGAGGCAGCAGUGGGGAAUUUUGGGCAAUUGGGGAAACCCUGAUCCAGCGAUGCCGCGUGUGUGAAGAAGGCCUUCGGGUUGUAAAGCACUUUUGUUCGGGAAGAAAUCUGUCGGGCUAAUACCCUGGCGGGAUGACGGUACCGGAAGAAUAAGCACCGGCUAACUACGUGCCAGCCGCCGCAGUAA
rnacentral:rRNA from 1 species